rnacentral:rRNA from 1 species
UACAGAGGUCUCAAGCGUUGUUCGGAUUCAUUGGGCGUAAAGGGUGCGUAGGCGGCGCGGUAAGUCGGGUGUGAAAUCUCGGAGCUUAACUCCGAAACUGCAUUCGAUACUGCCGUGCUUGAGGACUGGAGAGGAGACUGGAAUUUACGGUGUAGCGGUGAAAUGCGUAGAUAUCGGAAGGAAGACCGGUGGCGAAGGCGGGUCUCUGGGCCGAUACUGACGCUGAGGAGCGAAAGCGUGGGGAGCGAACAGG